GAGGAUAUAGCUCAGUGGCAGAGCACAUGCUUAGCAUGCAUGAGGUCCUGGGUUCAAUCUCAAGUACCUCCA
rnacentral:tRNA from 1 species